CCCUUAGAUGUUCUGGGCUGCACGCGCGCUACACUGAUACUUUCAGCGAGUCCACCACCUUGCCUGGGAGGGUGGGGUAACCUCUGGAAAGUGCAUCGUGAUGGGGAUCGAUUAUUGUAAUUAUUAAUCUUCAACGAGGAAUUCCUAGUAAGCAUGUGUCAUCAGCCCGUGCUGAUUACGUCCCUGCCCUUUGUACACACCGCCCGUCGCUCCUACCGAUUGGGUGUGCUGGUGAAAUGUUCGGAUCGGCCGUUUGUCGCGGUUUCCGCGUCAUGUGGCUGAGAAGUUCAUUAAACCCUCCCACCUAGAGGAAGGAGAAGUCGUAACA
rnacentral:rRNA from 1 species